rnacentral:rRNA from 1 species
GUGCCGUAGCUAACGCAUUAAGCGCCCCGCCUGGGGAGUACGGCCGCAAGGCUAAAACUCAAAGGAAUUGACGGGGGCCCGCACAAGCGGCGGAGCAUGUGGAUUAAUUCGAUGCAACGCGAAGAACCUUACCUGGGCUUGACAUACACCGGACCGGGCCAGAGAUGGUCUUUCCCUUGUGGCUGGUGUACAGGUGGUGCAUGGUUGUCGUCAGCUCGUGUCGUGAGAUGUUGGGUUAAGUCCCGCAACGAGCGCAACCCUUGUCUUAUGUUGCCAGCAUUUGGUUGGGGACUCAUGAGAGACUGCCGGGGUUAACUCGGAGGAAGGUGGGGAUGACGUCAAAUCAUCAUGCCCCUUAUGUCCAGGGCUUCACACAUGCUACAAUGGUCGGUACAACGCGCAGCGAUACUGUGAGGUGGAGCUAAUCGCCUAAAGCCGGCCUUAGUUCGGAUUGGGGUCUGCAACUCGACCCCAUGAAGUCGGAGUCGCUAGUAAUCGCAGAUCAGCAACGCUGCGGUGAAUACGUUCCCGGGCCUUGUACACACCGCC